GACGAACGCUGGCGGCGUGCUUAACACAUGCAAGUCGAACGGAAAGGCCCUGCUUUUGUGGGGUGCUCGAGUGGCGAACGGGUGAGUAACACGUGAGUAACCUGCCCUUGACUUUGGGAUAACUUCAGGAAACUGGGGCUAAUACCGGAUAGGAGCUCCUGCUGCAUGGUGGGGGUUGGAAAGUUUCGGCGGUUGGGGAUGGACUCGCGGCUUAUCAGCUUGUUGGUGGGGUAGUGGCUUACCAAGGCUUUGACGGGUAGCCGGCCUGAGAGGGUGACCGGCCACAUUGGGACUGAGAUAGGGACCAGUCUCCUACGGAAGGCAGCAGUGGGGUGUAUUACACUGUGAACGGAACCCUGAUGCCGCAACGCCGCGUGCGGGAUGACGUCCUUCAGGUUGUAAUCCGCUUUCGCCUGUGACGAGGCGUGAGUGACGGUAAUGGGUAAAGAAGCACCGGCUAACUACGUG
rnacentral:rRNA from 1 species